AACGAACGCUGGCGGCAGGCUUAACACAUGCGAGUCGAACGCCCCGCCAGGGGAGUGGCGCACGGGUGAGUAACGCGUGGAUAUCUGCCUUUUGGUUCGGAAUAACCCCGGGAAACUGGGGCUAAUACCGGAUGGUUCCUACGGGAUAAAGAUUUAUCGCCAAAAGAUGAGUCCGCGUACGAUUAGCUAGUUGGUGAGGUAAUGGCUCACCAAGGCGACGAUCGUUAGCUGGUCUGAGAGGACGAUCAGCCACACUGGGACUGAGACACGGCCCAGACUCCUACGGGAGGCAGCAGUGGGGAAUAUUGGACAAUGGGGGCAACCCUGAUCCAGCCAUGCCGCGUGAGUGAUGAAGGCCUUCGGGUUGUAAAGCUCUUUUGGCGGGGACGAUGAUGACGGUACCCGCAGAAUAAGCCCCGGCUAACUUCGUG
rnacentral:rRNA from 1 species